rnacentral:rRNA from 1 species
ASAGACUGCAAGCGUUAUUCGGAUUCACUGGGCGUAAAGGGUGCGCAGGCGGCCAAGUGUGUGAGGCGUGAAAGCCCGAUGCUUAACAUCGGAAUUGCACCUCAAACUACAUGGCUAGAGCAUUGGAGAGGGUAGCAGAAUUCACGGUGUAGCAGUGAAAUGCGUAGAUAUCGUGAGGAAUACCAGAGGCGAAGGCGGCUACCUGGACAAUUGCUGACGCUCAGGCACGAAAGCGUGGGGAGCAAAAGGGAUUAGAUACCCCUGUAGUCCACGCCCUAAACGGUGCACACUAGGUCUUGGCGGAUUCGACCCCCCCAGGGCCCAAGCUAACGCGUUAAGUGUGCCGCCUGAGGACUACGGCCGCAAGGCUA